GUGCCUAACACAUGCAGGUCGAACGGAGUGAUCCUUCGGGGUCACUUAGUGGCGAACGGGUGAGUAACGCGUGAGAAACCUGCCUUUCAGUGGGGGACAACAGUUGGAAACGACUGCUAAUACCGCAUAAUGUUUCGAGAGGGCAUCCUUUUGAAACCAAAGAUUUAUUGCUGAAAGAUGGUCUCGCGUCUGAUUAGCUAGUUGGUGAGGUAACGGCUCACCAAGGCGACGAUCAGUAGCCGGUCUGAGAGGAUGAACGGCCACAUUGGGACUGAGAUACGGCCCAGACUCCUACGGGAGGCAGCAGUGGGGAAUAUUGGGCAAUGGGGGAAACCCUGACCCAGCAACGCCGCGUGAAGGAAGAAGGCCUUCGGGUUGUAAACUUCUUUUACCAGGGACGAAGAACGUGACGGUACCUGGAGAAAAAGCAACGGCUAACUACGUGCCAGCAGCCGCGGUAAUACGUAGGUUGCAAGCGUUGUCCGGAUUUACUGGGUGUAAAGGGCGUGUAGGCGGAGAUGCAAGUUGGGAGUGAAAUCCCGGGGCUCAACCCCGGAACUGCUUUCAAAACUGUAUCCCUUGAGUGUCGGAGAGGCAAGCGGAAUUCCUAGUGUAGCGGUGAAAUGCGUAGAUAUUAGGAGGAACACCAGUGGCGAAGGCGGCUUGCUGGACGAUAACUGACGCUGAGGCGCGAAAGCGUGGGGAGCAAACAGGAUUAGAUACCCUGGUAGUCCACGCUGUAAACGAUGAAUACUAGGUGUGGGAGGACUGACCCCUUCCGUGCCGCAGUUAACACAAUAAGUAUUCCACCUGGGGAGUACGACCGCAAGGUUGAAACUCAAAGGA
rnacentral:rRNA from 1 species